UACGGAGGGUGCAAGCGUUGUCCGGAUUUAUUGGGUUUAAAGGGUGCGUAGGCGGCUUUUUUAAGUCAGUGGUGAAAUACAGCAGCUCAACUGUUGAGGUGCCAUUGAUACUGAGAGGCUUGAGUACAGAUGAGGUAGGCGGAAUUUAUGGUGUAGCGGCGAAAUGCAUAGAUACCAUAAAGAACACCGAUUGCGAAGGCAGCUUACUAAGCUGUAACUGACGCUGAGGCACGAAAAGCGUGGGGAGCGAACAGG
rnacentral:rRNA from 1 species